rnacentral:rRNA from 1 species
AUGACUAGGGAUAACCUUAGGAAGAGACACAUCAUCAAACCCCUUGAUUGUGUUUACUGCUUGGAACAAGACUCUUGUUCUCACCUAUUUUUUGGAUGUAUAGUUGCUAAACAUCUCUGGGCCCACAUUGAGGAAUAUUUCUCUAGUCAGAUUGGCUCAUCCUUCGAAUCUGUCGCCAGAAUCUGGAUUGCUACCAAAAAGUGCUCAGUUUUAAACACUGUUAGCUCAGCUGUCCUUUGGUGCCUCUGGAAAUAUAGAAAUGCUAUGAUUUUCAGUAACACCUCCUGGAUUUCCAUUCCGCAAGUCUUGAGGUUGAUCAGGAACAUGGUGAGGAACUGGGCGUUUCUCUCCUCCGGAUCGGACAAGGACAAGUUGAUGAGCUUCGUGGAAACCCUAACAAGAUCCCUCCAGAAACCGUUGGCGAUCACUUGUGGCUGA